rnacentral:rRNA from 1 species
CAGCCGCCGCGGGAAAACGGAGGGUGCAAGCGUUACUCGGAAUUACUGGGCGUAAAGCGUGCGUAGGUGGUGGGUUAAGUCUGUUGUGAAAUCCCCGGGCUUAACCUGGGAACUGCAUUUGAAACUGUCAGGCUGGAGUCUUGUAGAGGGGGGUGGAAUUCCAGGUGUAGCGGUGAAAUGCGUAGAGAUCUGGAGGAAUACCGGUGGCGAAGGCGGCCCCCUGGACAAAGACUGACGCUCAGGUGCGAAAGCGUGGGGAGCAAACAGGAUUAGAUACCCGUGUAGUCCCUGUCUCUUAUAC